ACUCCUACGGGAGGCAGCAGUGGGGAAUAUUGGACAAUGGGGGCGAACCCUGAUCCAGCCAUGCCGCGUGAGUGAAGAAGGCCCUAGGGUCGUAAAGCUCUUUCAACUGUGAAGAUAAUGACGGUAGCAGUAGAAGAAACCCGGCUAACUCCGUGCCAGCAGCCGCGGUAAUACGGAGGGGUUAGCGUUGUUCGGAAUUACUGGGGCGUAAAGCGCACGUAGGCGGACUAUUAAGUUAGAGGUGAAAUCCCAGGGGCUCAACCCUGGAACUGCCUUUAAUACUGGUAGUCUUGAGUUCGAGAGAGGUGAGUGGAAUUCCGAGUGUAGAGGUGAAAUUCGUAGAUAUUCGGAGGAACACCAGUGGCGAAGGCGGCUCACUGGCUCGAUACUGACGCUGAGGUGCGAAAGUGUGGGGAGCAAACAGGAUUAGAUACCCUGGUAGGAUAGCG
rnacentral:rRNA from 1 species